rnacentral:rRNA from 1 species
CCAAUAGCGUAUAUUAAAGUUGUUGCAGUUAAAAAGCUCGUAGUUGAAUUUCGGGGUCAGUAGGUUGGUCGUGCCACUGGUAUGUACUGGCCUCACUGAUUCCUCCUUCCUGAUGAACCGUAAUGCCAUUAAUUUGGUGUUGCGGGGAAUCUGGACUGUUACUUUGAAAAAAUUAGAGUGUUUAAAGCAGGCUAACGCUUGAAUACAUUAGCAUGGAAUAAUGGAAUAGGACGUUCGAUCCUAUUUUGUUGGUUUCUAGGAUUGACGUAAUGAUUAAUAGGGAUAGUUGGGGGCAUUAGUAUUCAAUUGUCAGAGGUGAAAUUCUUGGAUUUAUUGAAGACUAACUACUGCGAAAGCAUUUGCCAAGGAUGUUUUCACUAAUCAAGAACGAAAGUUAGGGGAUCGAAGACGAUCAGAUACCGUCGUAGUCUUAACCAUAAACUAUGCCGACUAGGGAUCGGAUGAUGUUAAUUUUUUAAUGACUCAUUCGGCGCCUUACG